CAAUAGCGUAUAUUAAAGUUGUUGCAGUUAAAAAGCUCGUAGUUGGAUUUCGGAGCCGACCGGGCGGUCUGUCGAGAGACACGCACUGCUCGGUGGCUCUUCCUCUCGGAGGCCCUGGCUGCCCUUAACUGGAGCGGGCAGGGGAUUCGGGACGUUUACUUUGAAAAAAUUAGAGUGUUCAAAGCAGGCCGGUGCUUGGAUACAUUAGCAUGGAAUAAUGGAAUAGGGCUUGGGUCCUAUUUUGUUGGUUUUCGGGACCGAGGUCAUGGUUAAGAGGGACAGUUGGGGGCAUUCGUAUUCAAUUGUCAGAGGUGAAAUUCUUGGAUUUAUGGAGGACGAACAACUGCGAAAGCAUUUGCCAAGGAUGUUUUCAUUAA
rnacentral:rRNA from 1 species